CACUGUGGUUUCUUCCCUGCUUUCUCUUGCUGACGUCAUGCUCUGUGGAGGAAGCCAGCCACCAUGCUGUGAGGACACACGAGCGCCUUACCAGGGAGGUCCUCAUGAAUCUCACUUGGUGGCAAUGGCAAUUUAUCUUCAAGUUACCCUGGAACCUCUUGUGACCACCAGAAGCAUGGUCCCAAUCACUCUCUAUUUCCUGGCAUAUUCCACAAAAACUUGAGUUAUUAACCAUUUUUAAUAAUGCAGAUAAUAAACAUCACAGUCACCCUGCAACUCAUUA